rnacentral:rRNA from 1 species
UCUCAGUUCGGAUUGGAGUCUGCAACUCGACUCCAUGAAGCUGGAUUCGCUAGUAAUCGCGCAUCAGCCAUGGCGCGGUGAAUACGUUCCCGGGCCUUGUACACACCGCCCGUCAAGCCAUGGAAGCCGGGGGCGCUUGAAGUGCGUUGCCGCAAGGCGCGCCCUAGAGCGAAACCGGUGACUGGGGCUAAGUCGUAACAAGGUACC